CUUAACACAGUUUUAGGAAUACAAGUUUGUCUGGCUUGAGGUUCAUUGUUAGGU
rnacentral:tRNA from 1 species